rnacentral:rRNA from 1 species
CGUAGCGGACAUUUUAUUGGUGCUUGCACCUUUAAAAUUUUAGCGGCGGACGGGUGAGUAACACGUGGGUAACCUACCUUAUAGAUUGGGAUAACUCCGGGAAACCGGGGCUAAUACCGAAUAAUACUUUUUAACACAUGUUUGAAAGUUGAAAGACGGUUUCGGCUGUCACUAUAAGAUGGACCCGCGGCGCAUUAGCUAGUUGGUGAGGUAACGGCUCACCAAGGCAACGAUGCGUAGCCGACCUGAGAGGGUGAUCGGCCACACUGGGACUGAGACACGGCCCAGACUCCUACGGGAGGCAGCAGUAGGGAAUCUUCCACAAUGGACGAAAGUCUGAUGGAGCAACGCCCCGUGAGUGAAGAAGGAUUUCGGUUCGUAAAACUCUGUUGCAAGGGAAAAACAAGUAGCGUAGUAACUGGCGCUACCUUGACGGUACCUUGUUAAAAAGCCACGGCUAACUACGUGCCAGCAGCCGCGGUAAUACGUAGGUGGCAAGCGUUGUCCGGAAUUAUUGGGCGUAAAGCGCGCCCAGGUGGUUCCCUAAGGCGGAAGGGAAAGCCCCCGGCUCCCCCGGGGAGGGUCCUUUGAAGCUGGGGAACUUG